CGCGGGGACCCGCUCCAGCCCAUCCAGCCGCCAAGAGGGGGGGGGGCGGCAUGAGACAAGCUGAAGAGCUCUUCCCCCCCGCCGCCGAGGUUUUCUAACUUCCAGCCCUGCAAAUUCAACUAGCCUCCAGAAGUCCAACUUAGUUCUUUCCUUCCUGGGCAUUACCACUGGCAUAAAGAGUUCUGAAGGCCAAAUUAGACCUCCAGUUACAUCUGUGAAAUCUUCCAGGCUUCAGAGCUGAGAACUAGAGGAAAGCUCUCAGUUUCUCAGGGCUGCAGUAGCUAAGGAAUGGAAGUCCCUUGGCCCAUGCCUCUUCCCGCAGCCCCCAUUGGCCUGGAGUGGCGAACCGUGGCCAGUGGGAGCCACGAUCAGCCGAACCUGUGGAAGCGGCAGGUAAACAAACCAGCCUGGCCCACCAGGGGCUUUCCCUGAACAAGCUGCGUCCCAAGUUUGGGAAACACUGCUCUACACCUUUUCCCCUCACCCCUCUAAGUAACCAGAGGGCAUUAGAGGCUGGACUGAUAGUCACAGAGUCUUUCUACCACCAUGUGGAUCUUCCAGUCAUCCCCACCCUCUGGAGGUGCAAGGGAUAUAGAGAGAAAUCGUGGCUCCACUGAAGUCAAUGGCAUCAGCAUUUCACUUAUGUAGGCUAUUUAGCUCUUAGGCUGGAGAUCUCCAUUGACUACAUGAUAUGGGCUGAUGUUUGGGAGUAGAAUUUGGGGUUUCAGGUGUAGGUAUUUCUGGGAUAUGUGUAUAAUACAAUGGCACUAAAUCAAAUACUGGAUGCAAGUUCUACAGGGCAUGGACUGUGACUUGUACAAAGCCGAGCACUCUGACCACACUUAACAAUUAAUAAUAACAUGAAUGUUUUGGUUGAACACACUGGAAAGAUUUCUGUAUUUCAAAUUAUUUCCUCUGUCACCUUCUUCAAUAACCCUGCUCACUAGAUUUCAGUGUUUUAAGCCAACUAGGUAUUUCCUGUUGCGUGUGUUUUUAAAAUGAUUAUUAUAGAAGGACAGCUAAAAAUAGAUGAGCUGACUUAUUCACUGACACCUAGACCUGGAUGUUCUUUCCCUCCCCGACACUUUCUAAACAAAUAAAAAAAAAAACCCUCUGGAUUUACUCAAACGAUCAUUUUCAGAAUCAAAUAAUCUUUUCUUGUUUUUAACAAUGUAAAUUUGGCCUCGUUUUUGGAGUGUAAACUUUCCUAAUUCCUGGAUUAGCUGCAAUUCUAAAUUAGUACAUGUAUUCUGUAUAAAUAGUAUAGUUCCUACAUUGUCUGAUUACCAAAACAGCUUGGAUUUUCUUGCACCACAAUAGUUUUCUGCCACCUGGUGGAUAUAUAGGGUCAGUACCUCAAUACUUACAAUCUCUUAUGUUUUCCUAUAUUUUUAAUGACAAGUAUGAUUAAAUAAAUCAGGAUUUUUACAGUUUCCUUUUUAAGAUAAUAUGAAACAAAGGGCCAAUUCACCAUUUCUUGAUAACGGUUGGGGAAUUACUGUAUUUACUACCUGAGUUUCUGCUUUCAGGGAUAUAUCCUGUCAUCAGUCCGUAUCAAAAAUUGGCCCAGAUUCUAUUAUAUAAUGUUGGGAUUAUUUCUAGAACUGCAUAUCCCUUAAGGUCUGAUCCUGAUGCCAUUAAAAUCCAUGGAAAAACUCAUGUUUUUAAUUUGGCAAGAGCAGGCUCUGUAGGCCCAAAUACUACACAAAGUGCAAGGCAGUAGAGACAAAGGCUAAGGGCUGGUCUACACUGGCAACGUUAAAGUGCUGCAGCUGUGUAUUCGCGGCACAGCUCCCACCUCGCGAGGGGCGCAGCUCCCAGCGCUGGGGCACUGUCUACACUGGCGCCUUGCAGCGCUGAAACCUGCAGCGCUCAGGGAGGUGUUUUUUCACGCCCCUAAGCGAGAAAGUUGCAGCGCUGUAAAGUGCCAGUGUAGACAAACCCGUAGUGUCAACAAAGGGUGAUGAACUUCAUACGGGAUAUGGGAUGUUGCCCCACAGUAUGAAACCUUUAUUAUUUUGUGGCUUUCUACAAACUCGAUCAUUCUAACAUCAUUACAUGCGAACUUUGUAUUCUGCAGUAAUUAUUUUCAUUAUUUGGCAACACACAUUGCACGUGUCCUUUUGGCCACAUACAUACAGUAUCACUGAAAUGCAGUCACCUUUGGUGUGGCUGGCAGCGGCCAGCGAACAAACAGCACAACAGUGUGGAGAAGGGACACUUUUGGCUAAGAACAAUGAAGCGACCCCCUAAUGUUGUGGAAAGUGUCCUAGGAUCUCUAAGAUCCAUGCAAAGCGGACAGGCCGUCAGGGAAGGUAUGAUCAUAAUAAAGAAGGACAUACAGUAAAUGACUUAUGGUGCUCAGUUUAUACACCUUGGAAAGAUAAAGGGCGGAAGUGAUGCCAGAAGGAUUUUAACCUGUGGUUCCAGAGUCUAGAUAUUGUCUCUAGGAGUAAAAUGAUAAUAGUUACAUUUAUCUAUAAUUACACUGAUGAAAAGAAGUUGAGAUGUGUUUAGAAGAUACAACCUUGUAUCCUGUAUUUAUUACCUUGGAUACAAGGCUGACUCUUCACUCAUAAAGCUACAACUCUUCAGCCACUAAAACUAAAAGCUGCUAUUUUGGCCACCUGAUAACUCCCAUCUCUUUCCAUUAACAAACAAAAAUAUACAGAGAAUGACAACAUUGAGAAUAAAGGCUUUAAAGUUCAAAAGGGCCUGUUCCCUGCAUUAUUUCCAAUAUUUAUGUGGGUACAAAACUUCAUGAAAAUCACACUACGUUGAUUGUUUUAGAGUAGCAGCCGUGUUAGUCUGUAUCUGCAAAAAGAAAAGGAGGACUUGUGGCACCUUAGAGCCUAACAAAUUUAUUUGAGCAUAAGCUUUCGUGAGCUACAGCUCACUUCAUCAGAUGAAUUGAUUGUGUAAUUCUUCUUCAAAAAGGUGAUAACUGUCCUAGGUGCCACAAUUAUCCCCACAGAUAGCACACAUGUUUAAAUAAUUGUUCUCUCAAGAUCAUUGUAUGCACCCAAGUGGGUUCUAGCUAGUGUGAUGCUGUACAAUUUAAAUUGGUGCAACAAUUAGUUUGGAGAAUAACCACAAUUUUGGGGCAGAAAAGCACAAUGAGAGUGUGACUUGGACACAGAUCGCUGGAAUCGGUACAUGAUAAUACACAACAAUCUUCACACAUUAGGGCUGCAACAGAACAGGGGAAGGCAUUAAGUGUAGAUCAAACCUGCAGACAAUCGAUUAAAGUUGGCACAGUUCAUCAGAUCGUCAUUAUGCAAAAUGCCUGAAGGAUGUAGGCAUCUACAUAUCUUGACCAACAUGAUUUUAUAUAUGAUUUUCAGUAGAGGAUUAUUCUUUAGAGGCAACUAUGCACAGAUGUGUAUUAAGUGGAGUCAGAAGCUGGGAUUUUUUAAAAAAAGAUCCUCUUCUUUCAUGUCCCGUAGAUACAUUAAAGAUGGGUUUCCGUUGUAGGGCAGGGGGCAGCCCAUCCUACAUGACAGUGCAUGGCAAGGAAGCUAAACUGCACUUUUAAAAAAGUGUAGCAAGGACACAUGUAUCUGAUAUCAACAGUUAAUAUGAUAAUUUCUUAGAAGUGCCUUUUCUGCAAUAUUUGUAAACCAUUUGCAGGAACAUAAUCCACAGGGAGAAAGCUGUACCACAGUGGUGUUUUCCCUGCAAAUAUUUAGGAGAAAAGUCAUACAAGUAUACUGCCCCUCAAACUGCCACUUAUUUCAGGGGAGAAUCAGUAUCCUGGUUCCUCAUUGGGAUAUUUUGAAAUUAUUUGCCUGCCUACUAUAAGUCAGAGCUGUAUAUCUGCUUCCUGUUGUUAUUGAGUAUUCAACACUUGUUUUGCUUCAGCAGUCCAAAGGGUUGGUUGGCAUCACAUUGCUGAGUGAUGACAUAUAUAAUAUCACUAUCAGAUGCAGUAUUAGAAGAGAAGUCAGUGGCUCAGGUUUAGAAUGUUCCAAUGUAUGAUUGUUUUACUGCAGGAAUUAUUAGUGUAAUUAAUGUUAAUAAACUGU